rnacentral:rRNA from 1 species
CACGGAUUGCCCAGUAGCGGCGAGUGAAGCGGCAAGAGCUCAGAUUUGAAAUCGUGUUUCGGCACGAGUUGUAGAGUGUAGGCGGGAGUCUCUGUGGAGCGCGGUGUCCAAGUCCCUUGGAACAGGGUGCCUGAGAGGGUGAGAGCCCCGUAGGUGCUGCGCGAAGCUUUUGAGGCCCUGCUGACGAGUCGAGUUGUUUGGGAAUGCAGCUCCAAGCGGGUGGUAAAUUCCAUCUAAGGCUAAAUAUUGGCGAGAGACCGAUAGCGAACAAGUACUGUGAAGGAAAGAUGAAAAGCACUUUGAAAAGAGAGUGAAACAGCACGUGAAAUUGUUGAAAGGGAAGGGUAUUGGGCUCGACAUGGGGGGUGCGCACCGCUGUCUCUUGUAGGCGGCGCUCUGGGCGCCCUCUGGGCCAGCAUCGGUUCCUGCUGCGGGAGAAGGGGCUCCGGAAAGUGGCUCUUCGGAGUGUUAUAGCCGGGGCCAGAUGCCGCGUGUGGGGACCGAGGACUGCGGCUUCUGUCUCGGAUGCUGGCAUAACGGCGCAAUACCGCCCGUCUUGAACACGGACCAA